GCCGAGCACGACGAAGAGAAACUCCGCAAGUG
rnacentral:scRNA from 1 species